CCUGGCCUGGGGUAGCCGGUCCGCCUUGCAAAAGGUGCGCACUGUGCGGCCUCGGCCAUCCUUGAGAAGAGCUGUUCUGGCAUUCAGUUGUCGGGGCGGGGAUUCUCGACGUUUACUGUGAAAAAAUCAGAGUGUUCAAAGCAGGCUUACGCCUUGAAUACAUUAGCAUGGAAUAAUGAGAUAGGACCUUGGCGGUCUAUUUUGUUGGUUUGCACGCCGAGGUAAUGAUUAAAAGGGACGGUUGGGGUUCUUCGUAUUCAAUUGUCGGAGGUGAAAUUCUUGGAUUUAUGGAAGACGAACUGCUG
rnacentral:rRNA from 1 species